rnacentral:rRNA from 1 species
CCUACGGGAGGCAGCAGUGAGGAAUAUUGGUCAAUGGCCGGAAGGCUGAACCAGCCAAGUCGCGUGAGGGAAUAAGGCCCUAUGGGUCGUAAACCUCUUUUGUCAGGGAGCAAAGGCGUCCACGAGUGGACGAAAGGAGAGUACCUGAAGAAAAAUAAUCGGCUAACUCCUUGCCAGCAGCCGCGGUAAUACGGGGGAUGCGAGCUUUCUCCGGUUUGAUGGGGUUUCAAGGUUGCGUAGGGGGAGGAUAAAGUCAGCGGGAAAAUUUGGGGGCUAAACCCGGUCGUGCCGGUGAAACUGACACCCUUGAGUGAGUGAGAAGUAAGCGGAAUGUGUGGUGUAGCGGUGAAAUGCAUAGAUAUCACGCAGAACGCCGAGUGCGAAGGCAGCUUACCGGAGCUCAACUGACGCUGAGGCACGAAAGUGCGGGUAUCGAACAGGAUUAGAUACCCUUGUAGUC